CUCUCCCUGCUGCCUCGCCUCUCUCCCUCCCUCCAAACCCUAGACUUGCCCGCGCCUCCCUGCCCCGCCGCCGUCCAGUUCCAACCCCUGCCCCAUCGAGCGGCUCAUGGCGGUGCCGGAUCCGGUGUCGAGGUCGAGGCGCGCUUCCCGUGCGUGGGGAGAGGCACCCAAACCUAGUCCAAGACUCGCACCACGGCAUGCUCGCCGCCGUCCUCGUCAGGGUCGCCGGCAAGGCGCCAUGGUGGCUGCUUGUUCCCCUGCUGCCUCUCUCAUGUUGCCGCCGCCCCCAUCUGAGCUCGAGCUAUAGAGGCGUGCCGCUAGGUCCCCUCUUUCUUCCAGUCUUUUCGCCGGAUCUACUGAUGCACUCGUCGAUCUCUAGAUUGGUCCUCUGUGGCUCAAUCCCCUAGUCAAUGCCUCCUUCGAUCUAUGGCUGCUCGUCUCUGGUUACUGAUCUGCAGGUAUAUAUGUACUUCCCAUUCCAUCGGCUUCGGUUGGCAUGUUACCUGAGGGUCGUGCUUCCCAUUACAGGCCGACGAGACGGCAGAUUCGGUUAGUGAGAAGAUCGUCCAAAAGAACAUCGUCGAGAAAGACGAGCUGACGCAAAGAGGUCUGAACCAUAUGUUCCUGUUAUUGCCCCAGUGAGUGCGGCAAGAAAGGCAGGAAGAAGACAAACUCGAUAUUCUGGUGGCGUAAAACUUUUGCAGACGGUUAAUGUAGAUAGAUGGUCUUUUAUCAAAAUGCCUGUACUAGCGAUUCCCCUGCUUACGCUCCGGCUCCCAGGCACUUACCGCCAAAUCACUUGGUUGCUUCUGGGCGACGAUGGUUGCUAUCAAGACCAUCUCGCUUUCCAUCCGGACUAUCGGGCUCUGUAGAUAGAGACUGGCAUUUAGUCAGGUAAAGUUAUACUUGGAUUCCUUUCCGUUCAUUUAUUCGAGUUCUCAUAUUUCUGUAAACUAAUUUCUGCCCGUUCCUACUGUUCCUUGACUUGGCGGAAGGAGGUGAUACAAGUUCAUCCAAUGAUGUGCAACAUCCUUUGGAGUGCUUUGGGCCCUCGCGUUCAGUUUCAUGGAGCAUGUACUUGGUGGAUAUCGAUGACUUUUAUCAAUUUGUGGCUCGGCGCGUACCAUUGUAUCAAAUCAUGGAGUGCUUUGGGCCCUCGCAUGAUCUGCAACAUCCUUUGGAGUGCUUUGGGCUCUUGCAUGUACUUGCCAAUAGAUUUGACUUUAUUGCCUUGCCUUGAUACAAUGCUGCUCGUGGUCAGGGGCGCAAUGUACGUGGAGGUGUUCAAUAGAGGGGUCAUUCUGCCGCCCUGCAACAUCAGGAAGAGGAACAGUAGGAACGGGCUGCCCUUCACCUAUUACGACGGCAUCUACCUGAACCCAUGCCUUUGAAGAUGUAUAGCGGUGCGCAGACGGAUUGAUCUUCCUGUUCGUACUCGUAGAUUGCAUAUCUGAACUUGGCAAAGAAUGGACCACAUGCUUCUCUAGCCUCAGAAGCAUGUUCAUAUGAAGCAAAUACAAGGCAUGCAGUGCUUUACGAUUUGAGAUGCCGCCCCCCCGGCCUGCCGCCGACGGCACACUGCUCUUCCAGCCGCCCCUGAGCCCACGCGACUCGCUGGAUCAUGCCCGCCCCUGAGCAGUGCGCAGCUCGCCGGACUGAUUCGUGCCACCCACGCCAACCUGAGAUCCGCCUCUGCAGGACGUGAUGGCUAGAUCACCGCGAGCCCCUACCCCGACCCCAAGGUCGGCGGCAGCGUCAAUCCCGACGGCCAGGUCACCGUCACCCCCAACCUCGACGCCCAGGUCAGCAGAAGGUGUGGAUGGAAGAGUGAGAAUAACUACAGGUUGGUCAAAGAUUGAAAGAAAUCGCUUAUGUGUCUUCGGCUUCGACACUGCGCAUAGGAAGUCGUCGCUGAUAAUCCAAAAUUUGAAAAGGUUCAUGUGUUGUGGCAUAUGAAAGGUUGGAAGUCAAGACGAACAGGUGGAUCUGUCCAAAAAAUAUGCUUCUGUGGAACUACAUAGUUUUUUUGUUCUUGCGUUGCCACUGUGGCUUGAUUUUGCUGCAUGAAAAGUACAUUGUCUGUAUCAAAUGGAUUGAUGGACCGGUCUUUCGCUUUUGUAAAGUAUAUAUUUCCAUUCCCCA